rnacentral:sRNA from 1 species
AGGAAUGUCCGUGGUUCUGGUCGAGCCGGC